UACGUAGGGGGCUAGCGUUGUCCGGAAUCAUUGGGCGUAAAGGGUGCGUAGGCGGCGCGGUAAGUCGGGGGUGAAAUCUCGGAGCUUAACUCCGAAACUGCAUUCGAUACUGCCGUGCUUGAGGACUGGAGAGGAGACUGGAAUUUACGGUGUAGCGGUGAAAUGCGUAGAUAUCGUAAGGAAGACCAGUGGCGAAGGCGGGUCUCUGGACAGUUCCUGACGCUGAGGCACGAAGGCCAGGGGAGCAAACGGG
rnacentral:rRNA from 1 species